rnacentral:rRNA from 1 species
GGAACCUGCGCGCAACCGCCCUUAAGUCGAAGAAAUUCCUUCUAAUACCGUGUAAUUCCGAUAGGGGCAUCCCUAUAGGUGUAAAGAUUUAUCGGCUGCGGAUGGCCUUGCGGUGCAUUAUGUACCCGGGGGGGUAUCGGUCCAUCGAGGCGACCAUGCGUACGGGUUCUGAGAGGAAGGUCCCCCUUGAUGGACCUGACACACACACCAGAAUCGUACCGGAGGCAACAGUGAGGAAUAUUGGUCAAUGGGGGGGAGCCUGAACCAGCCAAAUCGCGUGAGGGAAGACGGUCCUAUGGAUUGUAAACCUCUUUUGCCGGGGAGCAAGGUCAGGUACGUGUACCUGAUCUGAGAGUACCCGAAGAAAAAUCAUCGGCUAACUCCGUGCCAGCAGCCGCGGUAAUACUGAGGAUGCGAGCGUUAUCCGGAUUUAUUGGGUUUAAAGGGUGCGUAUUGGGACGGUCAAGUCAGCGGUAAAAUUGAUAGGCUCAACCUCUUCGAGCCGUUGACACUGGACAUCUUGAGUGGGCGAGAAGUAUGCGGAAUGCGUGGUGUAACAGUGAAAUGCAUAGAUAUCACGCAGAACUCCUAUUGCGAAGGCAGCAUACCGGCGCCCUACUGACGCUGAGGCCCGAAAGUGUGGGUAUCACACAGGAUUAUGUACCCUGAUAGUCCACGACACCCACGAUGAAUGCUCCUUGUUCGAUGAGAAUCUUGCUGAGUGAUAAAGCCCACGCGUUGAGCUUCCACCUGUUGAGUACGCCGGCGACGGUUAACUCACAGCGAUUUGACGGGAGCCCUUGAAGCGGACGAACAAGUGGUUUAAUUCGAUGAUACGCGAGGAACAUUACCCGGGCUCAACCGUACAUGGAAUACAGGCGAAGCCUGUAGUCCUCGUGGGUCCUCUACACGUGCACAUGGAUGGUCGUCAGCUCCUGCCCCGAGUGUCGGCUUAAGUGUCAUACCAGCCCAGCCCCCAUCGUCAGUUGCUAGCAGGCAA